rnacentral:rRNA from 1 species
AGGACGAACGCUGGCGGCGUGCCUAACACAUGCAAGUCGAACGAGGUCCAACCGGUAGCAAUACUGGUGAAGAUCAAGUGGCGAACGGGUGAGUAGCACGUGAGCAACCUGCCCCGAAGACCGGGACAACACCGGGAAACCGGUGCUAAUACCGGAUACCCCCACCGAAUCGCAUGGUUUGGUGAGGAAAUGGAUUCCGCUUCGGGAGGGGCUCGCGGCCUAUCAGCUUGUUGGUGAGGUAACGGCUCACCAAGGCUUCGACGGGUAGCUGGUCUGAGAGGACGAUCAGCCACACUGGGACUGAGACACGGCCCAGACUCCUACGGGAGGCAGCAGUGGGGAAUCUUGCACAAUGGGCGAAAGCCUGAUGCAGCAACGCCGCGUGAGGGACGAAGGCUUUCUGAGUUGUAAACCUCUUUCAGCAGGGACGAUUGUGACGGUACCUGCAGAAGAACGCCCCGGCCAACGUACGUGCCAGCAGCCGCGGU